UCUCAUAAAAAUAAGGUUUUUCGCCUUUUUAUUUAAAUUUUCAGUGACGAAGGCAGGACAAUUGUGCUAUGCUGAGAAGCGGCUGCUGACAGUAACGCAGGAUUCUGAGCAUGCCUCAGCAAAGCCCUUUCCAGUAUACCACUAUGAUUGUGCUGCUAAUUCUGUCUCCCGUGAUGUUAGCCAGCCACAUGGGUUACCUGUAAAUUAGUAAGCCUCCUCAGUACUCCCU
rnacentral:lncRNA from 1 species